rnacentral:rRNA from 1 species
ACGGCUCAGUAACACGUGGAUAAUCUGCCCUCAGAAGAAGAAUAAUCCCGGGAAACUGGGGCUAAUACUUCAUAGGAGACGGGUGCUGGAAUGCUCUGUCUCUGAAAGGUCCGCCGUCUGAGGAUGAGUCUGCGUCCGAUUAGGUUGUUGUUGGGGUAACGGCCCAACAAGCCUUUGAUCGGUACGGGUUGUGGGAGCAAGAGCCCGGAGAUGGAUUCUGAGACAUGAAUCCAGGCCCUACGGGGCGCAGCAGGCGCGAAAACUUUACAAUGCGAGCAAUCGUGAUAAGGAAACCCUGAGUGCCUGUCAACGCAGGCUGUUCUGGUGUCUAACACACACCAGGAGAAAGGGCGGGGCAAGACCGGUGCCAGCCGCCGCGGUAAUACCGGCUGCUCGAGUGAUAGCCACUUUUACUGGGCUUAAAGCGUUCGUAGCUUGGUCGUUAAGUCUCUGGGGAAACCUUUUGGCUCAACCAAAAGGCGUCUCAGGGAAACUGGCGACCUAGGAACCGGGAGAGGUAAGACGUACUUCGGGGGUAGGAGUGAAAUCUUGUAAUCCCCGAGGGACGACCGAUGGCGAAGGCAUCUUACCAGAACGGCUUCGACAGUGAGGGACGAAAGCUGGGGGAGCAAACCGGAUUAGAUACCCGGGUAGUCCCAGCCGUAAACGAUGUGCGUUAGGUGUGUCAGCGACCACGAGUCGCUGAGGUGCCGAAGGGAAACCGUGAAACGCACCGCCUGGGAAGUACGGUCGCAAGGCUGAAACUUAAAGGAAUUGGCGGGGGAGCAC